UGUCGGUUCGCCGCCCGUCGGUGUCAACUGGCAUGUCCUGUGGAACGUCCUGCCGGUGGCGGACCGGGCUUUCGGCUUGCGUAAGGGCUUACGCCCGAAGCAGGCCGAACAGUACCGGCCGCCGGUCCAAUCCCGCCACGGUGCUCUUCACCGAGUGUCGAGGUGGGCCGGCACGUUUACUUUGAACAAAUUAGAGUGCUUAAAGCAGGCUGGUGUCCGCCUGAAUACUGUGUGCAUGGAAUAAUAGAAUAGGACCUCGGUUCUAUUUUGUUGGUUUUCGGAACCCGAGGUAAUGAUUAAUAGGGACAGGCGGGGGCAUUCGUAUUGCGACGUUAGAGGUGAAAUUCUUGGAUCGUCGCAAGACGAACCUAAGCGAAAGCAUUUGCCAAGUAUGUUCUCGUUAAUCAAGAACGAAAGUUAGAGGUUCGAAGGCGAUCAGAUACCGCCCUAGUUCUAACCAUAAACGAUGCCAGCCAGCGAUCCGCCGAAGUUCCUCCGAUGACUCGGCGGGCAGCUUCCGGGAAACCAAAGCUUUUGGGUUCCGGGGGAAGUAUGGUUGCAAAGCUGAAACUUAAAGGAAUUGACGGAAGGGCACCACCAGGAGUGGAGCCUGCGGCUUAAUUUGACUCAACACGGGAAACCUCACCAGGCCCGGACACCGGAAGGAUUGACAGAUUGAGAGCUCUUUCUUGAUUCGGUGGGUGGUGGUGCAUGGCC
rnacentral:rRNA from 1 species